UUUUUUUUUUUUUUUUUUUUUUUUCCUCAAGGACUUUAACCCAGAUGGAGUCUAAUAGUUCAGACGACCAAGAACACACACAUCAGUGCUGCCAACUCUUAACUUGGUAUUUUGGGUUUAAGAUUAUGGUUUCCGAUUUGUCAUUAUAUAUGUUUUUCUGUUUCUGUAUUGCUGCUGUUCAUCUUUCAUUAUCUUAUUGAUGGAUUUCCUACUCUUUGCCAAGAAACCAUAAUUAAAGCAUUAUCCUUUUCUUCAAGGAACUUAAAAUAAUCUUUGAACAUCAAUUAGGCCCAUAAAUAAACAUAGUUCUUAAAUAUCAAGAUAAUUAAAGACUUAUAUAGACAUUGAAUCACUUUAUUUUCAAGAAGAGACUGUUUGAAUUACACAGAGGAAUUGUAUUCAGUUUUAACCAUGUACAAAUUGGCUUUCUGAUAACAUGUCUUAACAUUUUUAGUUAGGCACAAAUUAUAUUUUCCACACUUUCUGGUAUAUGAAUAUACCAUCUCAAAUAUUUGCCAAGAUAUUAGAGCAAAUUCAGAGAUCUUGAAACAGCAAAUAAGCUACCAGCAUUAUUCAUAGGCAAUGCUGCAACCCACAGCCAAGAACAGGUAGGACAGUUUUCUAUUAGCAAAAAAUUUCACAACUAGUUAUAAUUCUCUCAAUACUAAACGUGGUAUCUAAAGCAUAUGAGGUGUUCUUUGAUCAGCAAGGUAGAAUCACAUCUUAGGAAAUAAGAAAUUUGGAACACAAAGUGUUUAGGGAUUUGUGCACACACACAUCCUUGCAGUAUUCAGUUUAUUAUUGUUUGAAAGCUUAUCUGAGCCAUCUGUAACUUGAAAUAGGCUGUCUAUGGGCUGUAUUAAUGCACUUCCUCUCUGUUCUUUUAUUGUGUAUCUUUUCAAUAUCUACCCUGAAGCAGGCACUUUUAUAGGCAUUCACUAGGCAAUUGGAAAUAUAAUUCCUAAUUUUUUGGACCUGUCUAUUGGAAGGAAUAAACAUUUAUAACCUAGCACUGAAAGUCCUGUAUUAGAGAUAGCGGAGGCUGCUGCAGGAGCUCAGAACAGGGAAACUUCUUCAUGGAGAAUGGCAUUUGGGUGGAUGUCUGUGUGUGCAUAUGUGUAAAAAUGGUCAUGGGAUGUGUAUAUAAGUCAGCCAAAUUAAUGAUGGGGGAUGAGGAAAGUGUCUACAAGGAAAAUAAAAAUAUGAGAAGGCUUUGAUGCAUGAUGGAGUAUAACAUGAUAAAAAACUGAGAAAUUCAGUGAAGACUGUAGAAUGUAAAGGAAGGAUUGCAAGAAGAGGAAGUAGAGAGAGAGGCAAGAUUGCAAAGGCUUUUUAAGGUCAUUUGCAUUUAAAUCCAAAAAGGCAAUGGCUCUGAAAGUCACUGGAAAGUGUUGGAGGAGAGCUACCUAAUCAGAUUGGUGUUGUGGAUACAUUCUGGGUACAGUGGAUUGGAGAAGCCAAAACUGAAGGAAGGGAGAUCAGUUGAAAUACAUUAGUCCAGGAUAAGAAUGAUUAUCCUGGUCUGGAGUGGAGGCUACAGAUACUGAAUGAGUGGAUCAAAGGCACGUUCAGGAGACAGAGUGAGCAGAACUUUGUUCUUGAUUUUACUCAGGAGGUAGAAGGAAUGCCACAAUUCAAGAAUGGCUCCAGGGUUCCUAACAUGGGCAACUAGGUGGAUGGUGAUGCAACUUACCCAUAUGUAAGCAAUAGAAGUUUGUGGGGUUAUGAAGAGGGAUGGGUAAAUAUAAUGACCUUAGUUUUGAACAAAUGGAGCUGGAGGGGCUUCUAAUAACCAUAUCAUUUGGUAAUCUUCAGGAUGGUUCUAAAUCCUACCUCGCAUAAUUCCCAGUAAGAAAUUCUCAUUCUUGGUUGUUUGGCAUUUUUAGUGAAAAUUUCAUUACUGUUUAAUAUUUUAAUAAUAAACAUAAAAUUAGUAUUUAGAAAAACAAAUCGGCAAUCACGAUAACUCUAUGACCAGUAAAAACAUCUAAGUUUUGCAUUUAGCUUAUUGAAGUAUUUCUGAGUAUUGGUGUUUAGAAAUGCCUUAAACCAUUAAGUGUUCCUUCAGGGUGAUGUUUUCUUAGAUUCCCGAAAAUGAAUUUGUUAAAAAUAAAGGUGGUGAUAAUAUUGUGAUUCCAUUAUAGCUGACAGAAAGUUAAACUUAUCUAAGAACCAUAGGCUCUUCCACUUUGCUAAUUUUAAAUGUUUUAUUUUAGUUAAGUGAACUUGAUACUUGAUUUCGCUGAUGUAAAAAAUAAAAUGAAAAAUUCUAAAUAAAUAUCACAAUUGGCUGCUAAUCUUACAGUGAUAUUUAAAGGGCAACCAUAGACAUUUUGUAGAAAAAUCACAAUAUUUUCUGCUUAAACAAAGAGACCUAGGAACAAUGCCAUAAUAAAUACAACAAAACAAGCAAAUGAAAAUGUUUUAAGCUUCCCUUGCUAGUCAUUUAUUCAUAGUAAGAAACGAAUUUCACAUAAUGGAGGUAACAUGGUAGAGUUCUAUAUUGUAGACAAGAUCAAAUAGAGUUGGGGUCAAAAAGAGGCAGCCAGAGAGGAGGAAGGGAGAAAAAAGUUAUCAUUAUCUAGUGAUCUAACUAGAUAUUUAAAUAUGCUCAAAAAUACAUUUGAAUGGGUUUUUAUAGAGGUUUAUCCAGUUAUGUAACUUACUUUUAUAGGAAUUACCUAUCCCAUUGGCUUUUGUUCAUUUAAGAAAUCUUUAUACAUUCAUUUAUUAAUCCAAGUCCGUCUUGAACUGAUGGAGAAGCACAGGAGUGAAAGGUUGUCAGAAUUGAGUCCUGGUGGUUCCAGAGCACUUCAGCAGCUCCUGUAACAUAUGCUCAGUACAUAUCAUCUCAAAUAAUUUGCCCUUUGAUCUUCUUGAUUUUCUCAUUUUGUUAAACAUGGAUGGUAGAAGCACCACAUGUUGUAAAGAAACAUUUGAAUACUUGUGUUGAUGGCGAUAUUGAAAGGAAAUGAAAUAUGGCUUUAAAAUCUGGCUUAGCUGGACGGGUUGGUCCUGAUUGGUUUUCAGACUCAACGUAGAGUUUUCCUUGCAUGACAAUAAGUAAAAUUGGCAUGAGUCAAAUGCCUUUCUUGUUCACUUGAUAAUGAAAAGCAGAGCUCACAUAUUCACCUAUGCAGUGUGUUCUUUUUAAAUAUUAGGUUCUUUCAAUGAAUAACUGCAAAAGCCCAAACUGAAUGUUUUAUAGUGACAAGACCCUCAUCAUACAAAUGAGCUUUGAGCACUAGAUGGAGAGAGAUGUUUGGGUACAUUAUUUAUAAUCUUGGCUUAUUUUAGAAGAUUUUGUGAUAAUUGCACUGUUAUUGAUAAAAUAAAAGAGACUGAUUCAAAUAUCCUGUAUAAAUUCUUCUGUAUAAACAAAUUAUGUUAAAAAUAGGGUUUAAAGAACAACGAUUUAAUUGCUAGUGAUUCUUUGAAUCAGCAAUCUGAUUAGGGCAAUUCUCUUGCUAGUCUUUCCUGCUGUGCCUCCCCUCCCCUGCAAUGAGCUGGCAGGUUGGUGGGAGGUAGGUUGACCUAGAAUGACCUUACUCUUAAUGUUUGGGGCCUAUUGCUAGCUGUUGGCCUAAGUGACAUUGAUGAUUGAACAAUCUGUCUUUAUCUAAUCUGUGCUUCAUCAGGUGGUGAAUGUUACAAAAUUCCUUAGGAGCAACCAAGCAGGGCUACCCCAGUGUGUAAGUUUUUUUAAGCCUCUGGUUGCGUUACUUUUUUUUUUUUUUUUUUUUUUAAAUGUUCCAUAAGACAAAGCAAGUGUAGGAAUGGAGAAAUAGACACCACCUUUUAAUGGGAAGAGCUUCAAGGUAACAUUGCAAAAGGGCAUGCAUGCUGGAUGGGAAGAAUUUGUGACUGUUUUGGUAUUCAACCACAGUUCCUACUAGGGACCUAGCAUCUCAGCAUGUCUGAAAGUCCAGUUAUUCCCUACCUUUGUCACACCAGGUCGUGUAAUUUUUAAAUUUCAGCUAAUCUAGUGGCAGUUUAGUAAUAUUUCAUGGUGGUUUUAAUUUCAACUUCUCUGAUCAGUACUGUUGUUAAGAACUGUUUAUGUUUACUGGCUCUUUGGAGAUUCUCUUUGAAUUCUCUAAAUUCAAGGUUUUUACCCACUUCUGUACUGAGCAGACAAGCUUUUAACUUUUUGGUUUGUAGCUCUGUCUGUCUCUCUUGCUCGCUCGCUCACACACACACAUUUCUGAUGCACUGCAAAUAUUAUUCAACCCACUUGUAUCAUAGUUCACAAUAACCCCCAAUUGUACUAUCUCCUCUGACCCCCUGCUCCCCAUUUUUGGUCUCUUUUCCCCCCUUCUAGCUCUAACUGCUAUUCUCAAUUUGGUAUAAAUACUUAUUUUCUAGGGCUGCCAUACAAAGUGCCCCAAACUGGGUAACAAAACAGCAGAAAUCUACGGCCUCACAAUUCUAGAGGCUCGAAGUCCAAAAUCAAGGUUUUAGGUGAGCCUUGCUGCCUCUGAAAUUCAUAGGGGGGAAUCUUUCCUUGCCUCUGCCUAGCUUCUGGUGUCUGUUGGCAAUCUUUGCCAUUCCUUGGCUUGUAAAUGCAUUGCUCUAAUUCUCUCUCUUCAAAUCUCUGUGUUCUCUCUUUGCAUGACACUCUUUUUACAAGGAUGCCAGUUAUAUUGGAUUAGGGGCCCAUUCUACCCAGAUAAAACCUUAUCUUCACGAAUUACAUCUGCAUAGAGCCUAUUCCUAAUUUCCUAUUCUGUGGUAGGUACAGGGAUUAAGAACAUCAGCAUAUCCUUUCAUGUGGGACACAAUUCAACCCAUAACAAUAUCCUUCAAGAUGUUUUUCUCAUGCUUUAUUGAGAAUUCAUUAAAUUACUAAAGUUAAAAAUAUAAAGCAUAUGUUUUUUAUUUGGAGGAAAGGAAAGCUCUUUUUGAAUAAGAAAAAAGCCACAAAAAGAUUGAUAAACUUAUUCCAAACAGAAACUUCUAUAUGAAAGAGAAAUUUUGUAAUGUGUCUAAUAGAGGGAGUAUGUUCACUUCAGGAAAAUACUUCCAACAAUUUGAUACAAAUUAAGACAAAUAAUCAGAAGGAAGGUGGGCAAGAAAGAAGCAGUAUCUGUUCAGGGAUGGGGAAAUAGAAACGGUUAAAACAAUGUGCUUUAUUUCUAGUCUUUACUUGCAUUGAUUCUUCUCUGAGCAAGUGUGUUCAUCUUCCUGUUUUUAUCUGUCCCUUGGCCCAGCACCUACAACCAAUUCUCACUCUGUCUCCCUAACUGUUAGAACUUUUUUAUCUUCUUCUGGACAGCUUCCUGAACCUCUCUGAGGAAUAAAUGAAUAUGUUCCAUAGUGUACAUCAAGCCGUAAAAAAGUAAGGUGUAUUAGGUCUCAAGGUCAUGUGAUAAUUAAUGCUCCCACUCAUGAUUGACAAUUGCUGCACCAAUUGCAAUAUAAGAACAACUUCUUGGAUAUUUGUUUUUUCAGGCUAUUUGUUGUUGUUGUUGUUGUUGUUUUCUUUUCUGGGAUUUAAGGGGAAAGAAAGAAUGACCAAUUUUUUCCUUACCAUCACUUAGCUUCUUAAUUUCAAGCUAAGGUAUCUAGCUAGCCGGCGAUGGAUGAUAAGGUUUACACUAAUGCAUCUGCAGCAUCUUGAUAAACAAUCUUUAAUGAUGGAGGAAGGAAAUUUAGUCUUUACCUGACAAUGAGAGCAAGUCUUCAGGCUGUUGCUAAGUGCUACACAAAGUAAACUUCAGUUAGAUAGAACUGGGAAAUUAACAUUCAGUAUUAUAAGAGCCAAUAUUUUCCUGGAGACAAAUAGAAAAAAAAAAUCAUCUUAAUUCAAGCAUAUAUCUAACCUAACAUCACAUUAAUCUGUACCAAGGACGCAAUGAAUAUGUGAAAACUGAUUGGUAUGAGACUUUAAGAAGAAAAUCUUGUAGUAAUUCUAUUAUUAGUAUAACUCAAAAUAGACUGACAAAAUAUUUUCAAGUGUAUGUCUUUUUAGAGACACCGUUUUAAUCAAAUGAAGCAUGUAUAGCUACCAUAUGAAAUGCUUAUAAAAAACAAGAAAACUAGGAAGAUAAGUAACCUACCUCAUGCUUACCUUUGCCCUUUUGUUCUGCUCACUUAAAGUCUUUAUUAAGGAGAAUGCAAGAUAAACCUCAUCUUGAAGUUGUGGGUCAGUGGAAAUGAACCCAAAUAGUAUCCAUGAGGAUGUGGGUUAGAUCCCUGGCCCCGCUCAGUGGGCUAAGGAUCUGGCAUUGGUUGUAACUGUGGUGUAGGUCAGCAGCUGUAGCUCUGAUUCGACCUCUAGCCUCAGAACCCCAUAUGCUGCAGGUGUGGCCCU
rnacentral:lncRNA from 1 species